UUUGACCUCAAAUCAGGUAGGACUACCCGCUGAACUUAAGCA
rnacentral:rRNA from 1 species